UAAUGCUUCUUAGAGUGCACUUCUUGAAAUUGAGCUGAAGGAUUAUACUUCUUGAGACAUGUUAUUGCUAUACAGAUAGGGAAUCUUGAGUUCAUAGUAAAAAAAAAAUAGCCUCACAAGGAUAAAGUCAAGGACAAAAUCCGCAGAGAGCAAAUCCAGAUAUAUACUCACUUCCUACUAAAUUUAAAGAAAAAUAACAAGAAAGCUCAUCUCACAAAAAGUGAACAAAU
rnacentral:misc_RNA from 1 species